rnacentral:rRNA from 1 species
GUGUCAGCAGCCGCGGUAAUACGUAGGUCGCAAGCGUUGUCCGGAUUUACUGGGCGUAAAGAGCGCGCAGGCGGCUGGCCAAGUCCGAUGUGAAAUCUCCCGGCUUAACCGGGAAACUGCAUCGGAAACUGGUCGGCUUGAAGGUGGGAGAGGGUAGCGGAAUUCCCGGUGUAGUGGUGAAAUGCGUAGAUAUCGGGAGGAACACCAGUGGCGAAGGCGGCUACCUGGCCCAUUCUUGACGCUGAGGCGCGAAAGCUAGGGGAGCGAACGGGAUUAGAUACCCCCGUAGUCC